rnacentral:lncRNA from 1 species
CCCCAAACGACUGCAUGCAUAGGUGCAUGCUUGGAUCAACACAGAGAUACGCAUUUCUGAGCAAGGCUUGUAAUGGUCCCUGUCCCUAAAGGGGCCAUGUGGUGAAGUAGGUAUCCAGCCCUACCAGAGGUGACUCUGGCCAUCAGGCCACCACAAAGGAGCUUGAUCUAGGACCUGGAAGAUGCACAAGCUCAUGCAGAUGCCUGCCACUUCUACUGGUGGCACCAUGUGGACAACCAGGGACCUCUUUGGCCAUGGAGGCAGAACAGCAGCAGCAGCAGAAGAGGAAUAAGAUACUGCAGCAUCACAAUCUGCUGCUCCCAGUCUCCUCAGGCACCCAGGAGGCAGAUCAUUGGAAGAGAAGACGGCCCAGGCUGGAGUCCUGGGAGACGCCACACAUGAGCAUGGAGCGGGUGAAUGAAGCCAGUGGAGGAGCAUGGGCAGGACAGAGCUCAAGAACAGAAAGAGAAGGCAGGAGCAGCCCAGAGGUGGCAGGGCUGACCUUGCCAGGGCUCAGGAGCUGAACAUGGAUCAUAAGAGGAGGAUGGAGUCUGCCCUCUGGAGGUGAAUGAGAGUGUCUGUGAAUAGCACCUGACUUGGUAUCACUGGCAGCCAACUGUGGGAAGUCAACACUAUGAGAUCAAUGGUCUCGCAGAAGAGGGACUGCAGCAACAAUUCACCUUUCUUCAUGGAAAGUAUAAUCAAAACCCACACUGCGAAGAAGUAGCAAUCCUUUGGAGAACAGAAGAC